rnacentral:tRNA from 1 species
GGGCGGCUAGCUCAGUGGGAGAGCGCUUGCUUCACACGCAAGAGGUCGGAGGUUCAAAACCUCCGCCGCCCACCA